GGAAGGAGCCCAGCGCAGAACGUUCCGGGGCACUCGCCCUGAGAAUGAAUGUUGCGUUAAGGAUAUUGGCAUACACCCAUGGCAGUUACACUUUGCUAAGUCAGCCUCGAAUGGUUCUCGUGAAGCCGGUAACACGGUGAGACUCCAGGGAGGGUGUUAGACCCGUGUGAAGGUGCAAUCUGCUUGGGCAAGCCGAUAUCCCGAGAGUCGCGUUGUUUGAACAUGCAGCGCUAAGCAGGUCGUAGACUCGAUCUAAGGCUAAAUAUGUCCACAGAACCGAUAGUUAACAAGUACCGUGAGGGAAAGUUGAAAAGCACUCCGUAACGGAGAGUCAAAAGACCGUGAAACCACUCAGAGUAUAAGCCAAUGGUGUCUGGAAGGUCCUGUGCUUACAUCUUGGUGUCAAGGACUCAUGCGAACCUCAGCACUUGCGGGAGCAAUCUCCGUUGCUUUGGUAAGCUUGUCCGCUGAAGCACUCCGUUGACCCACCUGGCUCGUUGUGAGGUGUCCUGAGAGCAAAGCGAAGUGUUAAGAUUGGCUUGGAGUUGGGCGUGGGCGUCUCGAUGCCUUUCGCACUCUCCUUUUCGAGCACUUCUUCAGUUCUAUUCGCACAAAGUGUGGUAGUCUUGGAGUGUGCGCUGCUUGACGCUCUCUGGAACCAUCCUCUGCGACGAAGCUUCAAUGCCUUAGUGAGCGGCCGUCUUCCUCCUCGGGAGUCGGUACAUUGGCGCGGCUUGCACACUGUCGGUGCUCCGCUGUUCAACUCUGGCGCAAGGUGUUACGUCCGAUACCAUUGGUCACGUCUCGAAACACGGGCCAAGGAGUAUAGCGUGUGUGCAAGUCUAAGGGUUCCACAAAACCUGGAGGCGUAGUGAAAGCGAGUUAUGGUGUCUCACUGGACUGAUGGAGAAGGCAGUGAUGCGUGAUCCCGCAAGUCCCGGACUCGUCGUCUGCACUGCUUCGGUUGUGUUAGCGCGAGCACCGCAGAGCACAUACGCUAUGACCCGAAAGAUAGUGAACUAUGCUUGGCGAGGGUGAAGCCCCAGGAAACUGGGGUGGAGGCCCGUAGCCGUUGUGACGUGCAAAUCC
rnacentral:rRNA from 1 species